rnacentral:rRNA from 1 species
GUAGGUAUCUACCCCUAACUUGUGAAUAACUCUGUGAAAACAGAGCUAAUACACAAUGUGGAGGAAACUCUAAAGAUUUAUCGGUUAGGGAUGAGCCUGCGGCCUAUCAGCUUGUUGGUGAGGUAAAAGCUCACCAAGGCUAUGACGGGUAUCGGGACUGAGAGGUUGUACCGGCAGAGGGGCACUGAGACACGGGC